rnacentral:rRNA from 1 species
UACGGAAGGCAGCGGUGGGGAAUAUUGCACAAUGGGCGCAAGCCUGAUGCAGCCAUGCCGCGUGUAUGAAGAAGGCCUUCGGGUUGUAAAGUACUUUCAGUCGUGAGGAAGGUGUUAAGGUUAAUAACCUUAGCAAUUGACGUUAGCGACAGAAGAAGCACCGGCUAACUCCGUGCCAGCAGCCGCGGUAAUACGGAGGGUGCGAGCGUUAAUCGGAAUUACUGGGCGUAAAGGGCACGCAGGCGGUUAAUUAAGUUGGAUGUGAAAUCCCCGGGCUUAACCUGGGAAUGGCAUUCAAGACUGGUUAGCUAGAGUCUUGUAGAGGGGGUAGAAUUCCAUGUGUAGCGGUGAAAUGCGUAGAGAUGUGGAGGAAUACCGGUGGCGAAGGCGGCCCCUGGACAAAGACUGACGCUCAUGUGCGAAAGCGUGGGGAGCGAAACAGGGAUUAGAUACC